AACGAACGCUGGCGGCAGGCUUAACACAUGCAAGUCGAGCGAAGACUUCGGUCUUAGCGGCGGACGGGUGAGUAACGCGUGGGAACGUGCCCUUUCUUUCGGAAUAGCCCAUGGAAACGUGGAUUAAUGCCGGAUACGCCCUUCGGGGGAAAGAUUUAUCGGGGAAGGAUCGGCCCGCGUUGGAUUAGGUAGUUGGUGGGGUAACGGCCUACCAAGCCGACGAUCCAUAGCUGGUUUGAGAGGAUGAUCAGCCACACUGGGACUGAGACACGGCCCAGACUCCUACGGGAGGCAGCAGUGGGGAAUCUUGGACAAUGGGGGCAACCCUGAUCCAGCCAUGCCGCGUGAACGAUGAAGGCCCUAGGGUUGUAAAGUUCUUUCAGCGGGGAAGAUAAUGACGGUACCCGCAGAAGAAGCCCCGGCUAACUCCGUGCCAGCCGCCGCCGUAACAC
rnacentral:rRNA from 1 species